rnacentral:rRNA from 1 species
AUUGAACGCUGGCGGCAGGCCUAACACAUGCAAGUCGAGCGGAUGACGGGAGCCUGCUCCUUGAUUCAGCGGCGGACGGGUGAGUAAUGCCUAGGAAUCUGCCUGGUAGUGGGGGACAACGUUUCGAAAGGAACGCUAAUACCGCAUACGUCCUACGGGAGAAAGCAGGGGACCUUCAGGCCUUGCGCUAUCAGAUGAGCCUAGGUCGGAUUAGCUAGUUGGUGAGGUAAUGGCUCACCAAGGCGCCGAUCCGUAACUGGUCUGAGAGGAUGAGCAGUCACACUGGAACUGAGACACGGUCCAGACUCCUACGGGAGGCAGCAGUGGGGAAUAUUGGACAAUGGGCGAAAGCCUGAUCCAGCCAUGCCGCGUGUGUGAAGAAGGUCUUCGGAUUGUAAAGCACUUUAAGUUGGGAGGAAGGGCAGUAAGUUAAUACCUUGCUGUUUUGACGUUACCGACAGAAUAAGCACCGGCUAACUCUGUGCCAGCCGCCGCCGUAA